GAUUGCACGUACCCUCUCUGUAAUCGCGGCUG
rnacentral:ncRNA from 1 species